rnacentral:rRNA from 1 species
UACGUUCCCGGACCUUGUACACACCGCCCGUCAAGCCAUGGAAGUUGGGAGGACCUGAAGCUGGUGCUCGUUAAAGAAGCCAGUUAGGGUAGAACAGGUAACUGGGGCU